CAAAAGGCCCUUUUUAGGGCCCCCAAGACGUCAAGAAAAGAGCAG
rfam:Equus caballus chromosome 6, whole genome shotgun sequence.